GGACGAACGCUGGCGGCGUGCCUAACACAUGCAAGUCGAACGGAGUUAAUGAUUUCGGUUGUUAACUUAGUGGCGAACGGGUGAGUAACGCGUGAACAACCUGACCCAAAGAGGGGGAUAACAUUUGGAAACAGAUGCUAAUACCGCAUAAGACCACAACGUCACAUGGCGAAGGGGUCAAAGGAGCAAUCCGCUUUGGGAGGGGUUCGCGUCCCAUUAGGUAGAUGGCGGGGUAACGGCCCACCAUGCCAACGAUGGGUAGCCGAGCUGAGAGGCUGAUCGGCCACACUGGAACUGAGACACGGUCCAGACUCCUACGGGAGGCAGCAGUGGGGAAUAUUGGGCAAUGGGCGCAAGCCCUGACCCAGCAACGCCGCGUGAGGGAAGAAGGUUUUCGGAUUGUAAACCUCUGUCGCAGAAGACGAAGGAAGUGACGGUAUUCUGUGAGGAAGCCCCGGCUAACUACGUGCCAGCCGCAGC
rnacentral:rRNA from 1 species